UCGGUGCCGCAGCUAACGCAUUAAGUACUCCGCCUGGGAAGUACGCUCGCAAGAGUGAAACUCAAAGGAAUUGCCGGGGACCCGCACAAGUAGCGGAGCAUGUGGUUUAAUUCGAAGCAACGCGAAGAACCUUACCUAAGCUUGACAUCCCAAUGACAUCUCCUUAAUCGGAGAGUUCCCUUCGGGGACAUUGGUGACAGG
rnacentral:rRNA from 1 species